GACGUAGGAUGCAAGCGUUGUCCGGAAUUAUUGGGCGUAAAGAGUUCGUAGGCGGUUGUUUAAGUCUGGUGUUAAAGCCCGAAGCUCAACUUCGGCAUGGCAUUGGAAACUGGACGGCUAGAGUGUGGCAGAGGCAAGGAGAAUUCCAGGUGUAGCGGUGAAAUGCGUAGAUAUCUGGAGGAACACCGGUGGCGAAAGCGGGUCUCUGGGCCGUAACUGACGCUGAGGAGCGAAAGCGUGGGGAGCGAACAGG
rnacentral:rRNA from 1 species